rnacentral:misc_RNA from 1 species
GAUGAAGAACGUAGCGAAAUGCGAUACUUGGUGUGAAUUGCAGAAUCCCGUGAACCAUCGAGUCUUUGAACGCAAGUUGCGCCCGAAGCCAUCAGGUUGAGGGCACGUCUGCCUGGGCGUCACAUAUCGUUGCCCAAUGCCUAUUGAAGUGAAAUAGGAAUUUCUAGGGCGAAUGAUGGCUUCCCGUGAGCGUUGUUGCCUCGCGGUUGGUUGAAAAUCGAGUCCUUGGUAGGGUGUGCCAUGGUAGAUGGUGGUCGAGUUAGAACGAUACCGAUCAUGUGCAUGCUCCCCAAAAUAUGGCCUCUAUGACCCACACGCGUCUUUUGACGCUCAUGACGAGACCUCAGGUCAGGCGGGGCUACCCGCUGAAUUUAAGCAUAUCAAUAAGCGGAGGA